rnacentral:rRNA from 1 species
GAGAGAGAGACAUGCGCGCAUAUCAAUAAGCGGAGGAAAAGAAACUAACAAGGAUUCCCUUAGUAACGGCGAGUGAAGCGGGAAGAGCUCAAAUUUGAAAUCUUCAAGGUUUUACCUUGUCGAAUUGUAGUUUAAAGAAGUGUUUUCUGCUGAAGUUUUGGUAAAAGUUCUUUGGAAUAGGACAUCAUAGAGGGUGAGAAUCCCGUAUUUGACCAUUAUUUUCAGCUUUGUGAUACACUUUCAAAGAGUCGGAUUGUUUGGGAAUGCAGUCCAAAAUGGGUGGUAAAUUUCAUCUAAAGCUAAAUAUUGGCGAGAGACCGAUAGCGAACAAGUACCGUGAGGGAAAGAUGAAAAGAACUUUGAAAAGAGAGUUAAACAGUACGUGAAAUUGUCAAAAGGGAAGCGUUUGACACCAGUGUUGUUUUCUCGAAAAUCAAUUAAAAAUGGCUCGAUUUUGUAUUGCUUGAGACCUUAAAAGCUCACUGUACAUUUUUCGUGUCUUUUUUAAUGCACUUUUCGUUUAACAAGUCAACAUCAGUUUCUUUUGUUGUAAAAGGGUCAUUGGAAGGUGGCUUUCUUUUCGGAGAAAGUGUUUAUAGCCUUUGGCCUCUGCAAUCGGAGAGACUGAGGUCUGCAGCGUAGACUCUUCGGGGUUAGAUACAUUUGUGCUAAGUUAUAGCUUUUUAUAGACAACUUGUUGACUAUAAUUAGUCUUGUAGCUUACUCGCUUAUGCUAUUUUACCUACGCUUAGGAUGUUGAAGAUGUAGCACAUCAU